CGCGCUGUGGCUUAGUGGUUAGACCGUUCGCCUCACCUCCAGGGUUGGGGGUUCGAGUCCCACCAUGGCCC